rnacentral:rRNA from 1 species
CAGCCGCGGUAAUCCAGCUCCAAUAGCGUAUAUUAAAGUUGUUGCAGUUAAAAAGCUCGUAGUUGAACUUCGGGGUUUACUUAUUGGUCAGGCUUAAUUGUCUGUACUGGUAAGAUGAAUCUCUACCUUCUGAGGAACUUUCAUGUCAUUUAUUUGGUGUGAUUGGAAAUCAGGACUGUUACUUUGAAAAAAUUAGAGUGUUUAAAGCAGGCUAACGUCUGAAUACAUUAGCAUGGAAUAAUGAAAUAGGACGGACUGAUUCUAUUUCGUUGGUUUCUAGGAUCACCGUAAUGAUUAAUAGGGAUAGUUGGGGGCAUUAGUAUUCAAUUGUCAGAGGUGAAAUUCUUGGAUUUAUUGAAGACUAACUACUGCGAAAGCAUUUGCCAAGGAUGUUUUCAUUAAUCAAGAACGAAAGUUAGGGGAUCGAAGACGAUCAGAUACCGUCGUAGUCUUAACCAUAAACUAUGCCGACUAGGGAUCGGACGAAGUUAAUUUUAUAAUGACGCGUUCGGCACCUUACG